rnacentral:rRNA from 1 species
UGGGGAAUAUUGCACAAUGGGCGCAAGCCUGAUGCAGCCAUGCCGCGUGUGUGAAGAAGGCCUUCGGGUUGUAAAGCACUUUCAGCGAGGAGGAAGGUGGUGAACUUAAUACGUUCAUCAAUUGACGUUACUCGCAGAAGAAGCACCGGCUAACUCCGUGCCAGCAGCCGCGGUAAUACGGAGGGUGCAAGCGUUAAUCGGAAUUACUGGGCGUAAAGCGCACGCAGGCGGUUUGUUAAGUCAGAUGUGAAAUCCCCGGGCUCAACCUGGGAACUGCAUUUGAAACUGGCAAGCUAGAGUCUCGUAGAGGGGGGUAGAAUUCCAGGUGUAGCGGUGAAAUGCGUAGAGAUCUGGAGGAAUACCGGUGGCGAAGGCGGCCCCCUGGACGAAGACUGACGCUCAGGUGCGAAAAGCGUGGGGAGCAAAACAGGAUUAGAUACCCUGGUAGUCCACGCUGUAAAACGAUGUCGAUUUUGGAGGUUGUGCCCCUGAGGCGUGGNUUCCGGAGCUAACGNGUUAAAUCGACNCCGGGGAGUANGGCCCAAGGUUAAAACUUAAAGGGAAUUGCGGGUCUAGC